GAUCUUGGCUCACGUCGGCGGUCCCUCGCAGCUUCUUCAGCACUGGUGGGACCGGAGGAAAGGGACUAUACAUGUACAGCAUAAAGGAAGAACACAAAGGACUAGGGGCUUGCUUGCCUCUGGAACCCCGGCGGGCACAGGGCCCAGCUUUCCAGGCCUCUAAGGAUGAGACUGCCCACCCUGUAAAUGGAGGAAGCCCUUUUGGGUCUGUUUUAUGGCAGGAACAAGCUUCAGGUAAUGAACGGCAGGACUGGCCUCCUCACCAUUAGUGGGCAAAGUGUCUUCAUGGGAGCAAGGCCAAGACACCACUGCUUCCUCAGAAGUCCUCGGGAGCAGACAAGGGAAGCUGGUGCGGGCAGCGCAGGCAGUCAGCAAUGCCACACCGGGGAGCACUUCAUGCCACUGCGUCUUUGCACGCGCUGUUCCCUCUGCUUGGAUACCUAGCCCUCCUUCCCCGUGAGGCCAACUGACCAUGCGAGGUCCAAGUCGGCUGCCAAACUCUUCACAAAGCCUUUCCUGUCUUUCCCAUCACCCACCCCAGGGCCGGUCACUCCCUCCUAUUGCUUUCCCAGCAUCUGGAAGGCCUCCCUGUCUGUGGGUUCAACCAACUGGGGAGCAUAAAUAUUUGAAAAAU